GACUGUUUACCAAAAACAUAGCCCUUGAAAAAAUAAAAGGUGUCACCUGCCCAAUGAUUAUAGAUUAUAAAAAUAAAAGUUUUGAAAUAUAGUUUAAAGGACGCGGUAUCCUGACCGUGGUAAUGUAGCAUAAUCACUCGCCAUUUAAUUGAUGGAUAGUAUGAAUGGUUAAACGAAUAUAACACUGUCUCUAAUAGAAGUUUUAUAAAAUUGGAAUAAUAGUAAAGAUACUAUUUACAACUGUAAGACGAAAAGACCCUAUAGAGCUUAACUAUAAUCUUUAAUAAAUUUGUUGAGUUCACUCAACAUUAUUUAAAGAAUGGUAGUUUAGUUGGGGCGACUGUCUUUUAUAGAUAACAAAGACAAGCAAAAAUUAAAUAAAUAAUUUACUGUAUAAAAAAUUAUUUUAACAGUUAUAAAAAUAGGCUUUAGUGACCCGUUUUUUUAAAGAAUAAUAAAAAACGAUCAAUAAAUAAAAGCUACCUUAGGGAUAACAGGAUAAUUUCAUUUUAGAGUUCCAAUCGAAAAUGAAGUUUGUCACCUCGAUGUUGAAUUAUG
rnacentral:rRNA from 1 species